rnacentral:rRNA from 1 species
GAUGAAGUGUUUUAAGGGCAUUUGGUGGAUGCCUUGGCAUGCACAGGCGAAGAAGGACGUGAUACGCUGCGAAAAGCCGUGGGGAGCUGCGAAUAAGCUUUGAUCCAUGGAUCUCCGAAUGGGGCAACCCACCUUAAAUACCUAGAAAGUUUAAGUCGUCUUUCGGGACGGUUUAGAUUUCUAGGUAUUAUCAAUAAGGUAUCUACACCUGAAUACAUAGGGUGUAAGAAGCGAACUCAGGGAACUGAAACAUCUAAGUACCUGAA